CAUCAUUAAUGUAGAAAACAUUUGCUCCGUUACUGAUUUUCAGCAUGUUCAUUCUUUUCUUGUUGAAAAACAGAAACGUAGAUUUCCAUUUCAUUUUUAAUUUGAAUAUCCGUUGCGGCAUUACCCAAAAUGCCUCCACAUUCCCAAUAGAUGAAUUACCCACCUCAUUUCCUGAGUAAUCAUAUGUUGAAAAGAUUCUAGAUUCUAAGCUAAAUGAUUGUGCUGAAAUCAAAGCUUUCACCUAGGUUUAGUAUGGAUACAUUUUUAACUCUUAUGGAAUCCGAUGAGUGGUAAUGAUUCCUCAAAUUUGGAUUGUGAAAUGCAUACAUAUGCAAUUUUAUCAACUAGAAAACACAAACCAAAGAGCCUGAGUUACUUUCAUGUGAAGUUCCCUUUUAUGAUUAAGCAUUGGUUACCAAGAGCGUAAGUUUUUCUAAAUAAGAAAUAGGCGCACCCACAUGCUUGCAUGUGGACCACCUCUCAUGUGAGAAGUGGUGGCAAAAAUUGAUUCAAAAGCCUUAUGAGAGCGGCAAUGAGAGGAUUGGGAUUGGUUAAGGUCAUCCUAAGGAAUGGUGGGACCUUGUGUUUUCUCUAGGAGUGGAGCACGUCAUGGAAGAUUUUAUUUAUUUAUUUUUAUUGUAUUCAUGCAAUUGUAAACUUAUUGUUGUAAAUAUAUAUAAUUUUUAUUAUAAAGUUGCACCAUAUUUGUUCAA